ACCAGGAUGGCCGAGUGAUUAAGGUGUAGGACUUAAGAUCUAAUGGACAAAUGUCCGUGUGUGUUCAAACCCCACUCCUAGUA